GUAAGUAACACGGUGGUUUCUGCUGACAAGGUUCAGGCAUUGCAGAUGGAUGUUGGUUCGUUAUUUUGUCCGUCGGUUGCUACGUUAGAUGGACCCAACAACUACUAGAUGAAUGAAUGGUGAAUUUUAAAUAAAACAACAAAACAAGAAGAAAAUAUUGAACUGAAAUUUUAAACAGAAAAUGUGUAAUGACGUUGCAGAUGGCACAUAAAAAUUAAAAAAAAAUGCAAAUAAAAUAACAAAAACAUCAUAAAGUUUUGUUUGCAACUACCAGAGAAUUGAGUUCAGUUUAUUUGAAAUUCAUUUCAGAAGCAUUUUACUAGAGAUGGCAACUUUUUCUUCUGUUACAACUUGUUCAACAAAAAUGUUUUUUGGGUAUUUGGUGGAUUUAAGUACGAAUAUGUUGUUGUACUUAAUGUUGUUUUGCGAACAUGAAAUGUGGCGAAAAAAAAAAACUAAAAACUUUUUUAAGUGCUGAGUUUCAUUUCAUACCAACAAACAUGCCAACAGCCUGUCUGCGAUGGCUCAUGUAUUCAUAAGAUACAAAAGUGGAGAAAGCUAAAUGUGAAACCUCAAAUUUAAAAUUACGAAAAUGAAGACAUGGUGAACCAAUAUCAAUCAUACUUGUGAAUGUAGAGCAGAUUGUUACUUUAAUUUUGGAAUAUUUAGUACAUUUUAAGUUUAUUUUCUUUUACUUUAAUAAUUUUAAAUACGUACUUGAAGAAAAGUUU